rnacentral:rRNA from 1 species
CACGGACCAAGGAGUUUAGCGUGUGCGCGAGUCAUUGGGUGAAAAACCUAAAGGCGGAAUGAAAGUAAAGGAAACUUAGCUUUCUGAGGGAGGAUGGGUUACCUGCCUUUACAGGCGGUGCCCCGCACUCCCGGGGCGUCUCUUUCUCAUUACGAGUGGAGGCGCACCUUUAGCGUACACGCUGAUACCCGAAAGAUGGUGAACUAUGCCUGGCCAGGACGAAGCCAGGGGAAACCCUGGUGGAGGUCCGCAGCGAUUCUGACGUGCAAAUCGAUCGUCGGAGCUUGGUAUAGGGGCGAAAGACCAAUCGAACCAUCUAGUAGCUGGUUCCCUCUGAAGUUUCCCUCAGGAUAGCUUGCGCUCGGUUGAGACGAGUCUCAUCCGGUAGAGCGAAUGAUUAGAGGCCUUGGGGUCGAAACGACCUCAACCUAUUCUCAAACUCCAAAUAGAUGAGAUCCCCGGCUUGCUUGAAAGUGAAGCCGGGACUCGGAUCAGAGUGCCAAGUGGGCCAAUUUUGGUAAGCAGAACUGGCGCUGUGGGAUGAACCAAACGCGGAGUUAAGGCGCCUGAAUCGACGCUCAUGUGAAACCAUGAAAGGCGUUGGUUGCUAAGACAGCAGAAG